rnacentral:snRNA from 1 species
AUACUUACCUGCCCAGUGGUCUGACGGUGAUCACGUAGGCCGUGGCCAUGUCUGGAGCUGCUCCCCUCGCACUUUGGCUGCAGUGAUAGUCAGGAACAGCUCAACGCUGUCUCCAUGGGAUAAUUUAUGGUCGGGUGAGACUGCGUGCGCGCGGUGCUCGCC